GAGUUGUUGCUGGCCCCUGCACGGGGGCAUGUGCACGCUCUGUUUACACAUCCACUCACACCUGUGCACCCUCUGUAGUUCUAUGGCCUGGGGGGCUCUGUCCUCCUGUGCUGUGGUUCUACGUCUUUACACACACACUGUAAUAAAGUCUUAUGGAAUGUACGUCGCGUUUAACGCAAUGAAAUACAACUUUCAGCAACGGAUCUCUUGGCUCUCGCAUCGAUGAAGAACGCAGCGAAAUGCGAUAAGUAAUGUGAAUUGCAGAAUUCAGUGAAUCAUCGAAUCUUUGAACGCACCUUGCGCCCUUUGGCUAUUCCGAAGGGCAUGCCUGUUUGAGUAUCAUGAACACCUCAACUCUCACGGCUUGCCUGUGAUGAGCUUGGACUUUGGGGGUCUUGCUGGCCUGUGGUCGGCUCCUCUCGAAUAAAUUAKCUCGCCGGUGUUUGGUGGGGUCACAGGUGUGAUAACUAUCUACGCUUGCGGUUUUCCACCGGGUAACCUUCARCAAUGGAGGUUCACCGGAGCUUACAAAUGUCUCUCCUCAGUGAAGACAGAUUUUGACCGUUUGAUCUCAAAUCAGGUAGGACUACCCGCUGAACUUAAGCAUAUCAAUAAGCGGAGGAAAAGAAACUAACAAGGAUUCCCCUAGUAACUGCGAGUGAAGCGGGAAGAGCUCAAAUUUAAAAUCUGGCGCGCCUCUGGCCGUCCGAGUUGUAGUCUGGAAAAGCGUUUUCCGUGCUGGACCGUGUAC
rnacentral:rRNA from 1 species